AUUAAAAUUAUUUAUUCUCAAUUUUGAAGUACGCUCCACCGACUCCGUGUGUUCCGGUGCGCCGAACGUGCUGGCUUUCGAAACUUUUCCCUUGUGAAAUAAAUCAAACAGCAAUUGACACGUUGAACAGCAAAGGAAUUGACAACUUCGGGUACAGGGUUUUAUAUAAUGGCAAAACAUUUUAUGUCGGAAAUUGGGACACUGCUGGUAACGGCGCUGUGAAUCCGGUUGCGGCGUUCAAACGAUGCUGUGAACUUGGAAUGAAACUUUACGAGCCAGCCACCCUUGCUGAUGUUCAAGCCUCUUACAAUAUUAUCGGUAAAAAUUAAAUAC